GAGUUUGAUCAUGGCUCAGAGUGAACGCUGGCGGCAUGGUUAAGACACGCAAGUCGAACGAAAAGCAGAUCUUCGGAUUUGUGGAAAGUGGCGAACGGGUGCGUAACACGUGAGCAACCUGCCCUAAAGUACGGAACAGCCUGUCGAAAGAUGGAUUAAUGCCGUAUGUGACUUUUUCUCGCAUGAGAAAAUAGUUAAAGCUUGUAAUGGCGCUUUAGGAUGGGCUCGCGGCCUAUCAGCUUGUUGGUAAGGUAACGGCUUACCAAGGCUAAGACGGGUAGCUGGUCUGAGAGGAUGAUCAGCCACACCGGGACUGAGACACGGCCCGGACACCUACGGGUGGCAGCAGUUUCGAAUCAUUCACAAUGGGCGAAAGCCUGAUGAUGCAAUGCCGCGUGGAGGAUGAAGGCCCUAGGGUCGUAAACUCCUGUCAUUGGGGAGCAACAAGUAAGUUCAUAGCUUACCAUGAGUUAACCCAAAGAGGAAGAGGUGGCUAACUCCGUGCCAGCAGCCGCGGUAAUACGGAGACCUCGAGCGUUACUCGGAUUCACUGGGCGUAAAGGGUGAGUAGGUGGCCAAGUGUGUCAGGUGUGAAAUCCCGGGGCUUAACCCCGGAACUGCGCCUGAAACUACUUGGCUAGAGUCUCGGAGAGGAUAGUGGAAUUCCAAGUGUAGCGGUGAAAUGCGUAGAUAUUUGGAGGAACACCAGUGGCGAAGGCGACUAUCUGGGACGAGUACUGACGCUCAAUCACGAAAGCGUGGGUAGCGAAAGGGAUUAGAUACCCCUGUAGUCCACGCCGUAAACGUUGCACACUAAGUUUCGGAGGAUUCGACCCCUUCGGAGCUCAAGCUAACGCGUUAAGUGUGCCGCCUGAGGACUACGGCCGCAAGGCUAAACUCAAGGAAUUGANGGGGCCCGCACAAGCGGUGGAGCAUGUGGCUUAAUCGAGGCACGCGAGANCUUACCUGGUCUUGACAUGCCCCGGUUAUAGUUUUCCGAAAGAAUCG
rnacentral:rRNA from 1 species